rnacentral:lncRNA from 1 species
CAACAGUUCAGGCAUUCGAAGCAGGCUAGGGCUACACAAAGUUGUGAGAGAGCUAUAGAACAUUGGUUGUUCAUACGUGAGCAAGUCUGAAUGAAGCACAUGCAACAGAAUCGAUCGAGCAGCUUGCUGCAGCAAUUGGAGGCAGCAUCAACUAGCACUUCUGUAGCUUCAGGUGACUUUAUUUCAUCUGUUCCUGGAGGAAUGUUUGAUGCUGUCGCAGCCAAGUCUCCAAAGCCAACACCGAGGUUCCCCAAGAAAAUGACCUUCUGGAUUUCCGAGUUCACUUGUCUAAGUGAAUUAAUUUUGUUGAAUACCUAGUUUCACAGAUUAUUUAGUAAACUAUAUAAAGUAGCUACAUGACAUGUAAAUAUUUCUUCAUUUGCCAUUUAAUAUUUCAGUCAAUAACUAGAAAAACCAGUUAUGAUAUAAAUUUAGGGUGGCAAUUGAAAUAAAUAAGGAGAAAGAUGAAAAAUUGCACCUCCUGCAUCAGAAUUUUUUCUGUUGCUUUCUCCCCAGUAUCAGUCUGAUGCAAAAUCAUAUGGGUGUAUUCAGAUGGAACCCCAGUUUGAAUGCUCAUUUUCGCAAUCUACAAUAGAACAGCUUAUGGAAAUUAAGUUUUUGUAAAAGAGAGAAUGACCAUCUUCAUGCACAUAUGCUAGCACAGGCCAAGCCAAACUUGGCACUGAACUUCUCCCUUUCUCUCUCUCUCUCUCUCUCAGAGUUUAAGAUAGCUUGUGGUUUAUUCAAACUGAAUAUUAUAAAUUACACAAUAGAGUUCCAAUACAAAUUCAAUAGCAAACCUGUUGCUCAAGGUCCUGGCUUUCUGACAUCCAUGCAUUAGCUGUGAGAAUGUCAAUUUGUCUCCUUGCAAGCACCUGGAAAUUGCAGAGUAAAAGAAAUAAUUAGAGAACAGCUAAUUUCAACCGCAGCAAUAUAUAAUGAAUGAGUAUGAUCCUCCAUUGAAGAACGCGGAGUUCAAAUAUGAAUUACUGAAUGAUGAAAAAAAUUCAUUCUUGAAACCAGAAACAAAUUCACUUGUGUCUACAAUUUGAAGAGCUUAUGUAUCAGACAGAGGUCAUCAUGCUUGACAACCUAUUUCUGUGAAAAAUUGGUGAUGUCAAAUGUAAAGCAAGUUACAGUGUGCCUAAAGAAAAAGAAAUUACUCUAUCAAGUUGCACAUCCUUAGCCUUUUGUGAUUUCAAUUCUAUUGUGAAAUUGCUCAUGUCUGCCAAGAUACCACUAACUUUAAUUGAUUCUGGAAAUUUUCCAUUAUAUCUGCCUGAUACAAGCAAUGGCAUGCCACUUGAGAGAUCCGGAAUUCUAAAUGGAAGAACCUGCAAGGGAUUCAGGAAGACAAAAUGUCAGAACAGUUGGAGAUCACAUGAGACAAAUGAAUAGAAAGGCCUCCAGUUAAACAACUGUACAAUCAUAUACUAGCAACUGACACUUAGAAGGACAACAGAACAGAACAGUUGGAUAUCAAAUGAGACAGAAGAAUAAGAAGGCCUCUGACCACUAUGCUAUCAUAUUAGCAAGAGACAGAGUGCCAGAAUGACUGUACAGAAGAUUGGCCAUCAUGAAGUUUACCUCAAGUGAAUCAAGAUGUUCCAAGGCAUCCACAGUUAUAUUGGCUAGAAUGACUGAUGAAGCAGUUGCAAAUAAUCGCUGCAUUCGAAAAUCAACCGAAUCUGAAAACAAAAUCAAUAUAGACAUGUAUGGUGUCAAAUCUUUUUAAUGCUGUUACUUCACAGUGUAAUUAUACGAAGGCACCUUCUCCCUGUCCAAAAGAAAACAACUAACCUGCAUCAUAUGCACUAUCAAAAUAACCACUUCCAAUUUGUGCUAGCAUUUGCAAGAAAUAGUGGUUGCAAUAUGUACCUGAAAAGGUUUUAACAAUUUCUUAAAAUUCUAUAAGGAAUAUAUAAACGAACAUUCUCGUAUGCUUCUCAUAUGAAGAGCUAUGGGCACAGCUUUGUCACCCAUCGUUACAUGACAAAUGACAUUGACACCAAUGUUUUUGAUGAAAAAUGUCAAUCAAGUAAGUACAAGGUAAUCUGAACAAUUCUGAGAGCCAUGACCUACUAAAAAUUUUGUGGGAAGAAAACUAUCAUUUGAAUUAAAUAUUAGUGAACCAUGAGAGCACCAGAUUCAUCAUAACAACUGUUAGAAAACAGGAACUUUUGUUAUUUCUUCAAGCGAGUUACAGUCAAAUAACGCCAAAUUACAUGAAGUGGCUGGGUUUUUUUUUUAUCUGGGUGGCAACAAAGAGAAAUUUGACAAGGUUGGCCUUGUUUUCUGCGCGUGAUUGCCAUGAAACUAGUAUGCUAAAAGCUGAGCUUCACCAUGCUCAGUGACAGUAAGUCCAGAAUAUUCAUUUCAAUAACAAAACAGCUCAAGGUCAAUUAUGAAUUAAAUUAUGAGGAUUGAAGCAUUAGAGUUUCGUGGGCUUGUGUAUAUGUUAAUUGCUUACACAGGAACAAUUUGUAUAUUCAAAUGCAGCUCCACACGUGCAAUGUCAAAAAAGAUAUCAAGACAACAGGAGUCCAACAACUAAAGAUAUAACUGGAACGUCAAACCUUACCAAUGCCAAAUGUACAUAUCCGAGGAGAAAUUGGUCCUGCACCUGUGAGAGAGCCUUUUACAAAAUUGCAAAUAUCUCUUUCAUCUUCAACUGCGCCAUCAGUGAUGAGGAAAAUAAGAGGCAUUGAAUCAGUAGUUUCAGCCAACAGCUUCAUAGCCUAAAAUAAAGCACAUUCCUAUGUAAAGAGUCUGCACAUAUUUCAUAAAGAAUAUCUCAUUUAUAGAUGUAGAAGUGAAAAAUGCAGGAUCCAAGACUCCUAGAAUACAGAAAGAAGAGGGGGGGGGGGGGGCGCGGAGUUAAUCAGCAUUAUAUGUAGUGUAGGCCACUAAAGAACUCUCACAAGGACAGAGAACAGGAUUGAGGAAGAGAGAUGGAAUGGAAUAGCAAAAACGGAACCUGGAAGGACAGUAUGUAGUAUGUUUCCUUGUCUCAGAACAUACAGUUUCUUGCAGAGAUGGUAGAGAACAAGUACUGAAUAUAGAAUAAAAUAGCAUAUAGCAAAAUGUUGAGAAUUCAGUACAUAGAAUAAAGUUAAAAAUAUAAGCCAAAAACAAAACUUCAAGACAGUUGUAGCAGAUGCGAGUGAGACAUUAGCAAUUUAUACACACCUGUUUAAGAGGAUCCAAAAUAUUUGUUCCGCCAUCUGCAAUUAAAUUAUCACUAAGCCACUGAGUAGCUUUUGAUAUUGAUCCCUGCGUUGCAGGAGCCAUUAAUUGUGAAAAUAAGUAGGUCUUCUCGUUGAAAGCAAUAAUGUUGAAAGAAUCUCCAGAAUUGAGUUUAGAAAGUGAUGAUACUAAUGCACCCUUUGCAUUCUCAAGAGGAUCCCCCUUCAUGCUUCCACUCAUAUCAAUUAUAAAGAUCACAUCCUUCCUGCGAGCCUAACAGGCUCAAGCAAAAAAAAAAAAAAAACAGAUUUUAAUGAGCCAAAUAGAAAAAAAAAAUAAAAAGAAGAAUAACCCUUUUUCAAUAGGCAUGGAUGUUUGGUACUUCAAGCUUUCGGGGAAAGCUGACUGGAAACCAAAAUUUGAAUUUUCCACUGUUCCUCUACCAAGAAAAUAACAAUACCCAUAUAUCUCAAAAACUUUCUUCUAAUCUAAAUUUUCUAUUGUUAACAAUUUUUAUAUUUGGAAGAUGUCUAUUUUGUCAUAACCAGUAUUCCAAUUACUGUUUCUAUUUGUGCCCCAAAACUUUUCCAUCUGGCUUGAUUGAAUUAAUUCAAUUCAGACUGGAUUAUAGACUAUCUUUUUCUCUAAUCUGAUAAUUCCUAUUACAAGGAAGAAGUCAAUGCUAGCAAAACGAAACUGUAUUAUCUUCAUCAUCCAUUUUCAAAGCCAUGAAAUUAAAUGAAAAUACAACAUGCUCCAAAAAUGCACUCCCAUGGAGAAGUCAGAUGCUUGCAGUAUUAAACGCAAAAAUGGAGAAGAAAAGCAUGCAUCCAUAAUGAUGACAAUCCUUUUUUCUGAAAAAUAUUUUGGAAGCAAAUUAAUCCCAACAAACCUUCCUAUUCUCGUUGUUUCCAGGGAAAAGAUAGAAGCAGAACAUCUGUCGUCCAUCAAAAUCUCGCAAAAGUGGGGACUGCAGGAGCACACCACCAAAUAAGUCCUCUGAAGAGACCUGUAAAUGCAACAGUCAACCAGAAUAUAUAUUAAAUGGCCCAUCUCACACACAUUGCAAUUCAUCCUAAGAGGCUGCAAAGGAAGUUUAUUUAGUGAAAAACAGCCAAUGCUUCAAAGACUUACAGCAUACGAAAAACUUAAGUCAGUAGUCGACCACUUUGGUACUUCUGCUUCAUAUAAGAAACCCAUUUUACCAACCUCACGCCUUAACUCCUAGGAGAGGCCAUAACGUUCAAGUCAUUUCCAUUGUAUUUCAGGAGCUGAUUGGAAACAUAACUCAAAAGAUAUGAGAACAAACCUUUAGAGCAUGGCUAGUACUCUUGCAUAAAAUUUCUUUGCCAACACCUGAGUUCACACUUAACAGUAUCUUUUCUCUCUUCGAAGUUUUUUGGCCAAUGGGAUUGACAAAUUCUGGAAAAUUAAAUGGUACAUUGAGGCAGAAUUGACCCUCAUUAUAUUCAAGCUUUUGAGACCAAUUCGCUUUAACUGAAAUUAUUGUCCCUCCACCAACCUAAAAGGUAAAUAACACAUAAACAUGUUGAAGACAGUAUUAUGCAACAAAUAACACAAUUAAGAAUCAGAUAUAGGAAGUAAAUCACCUGUGGGAUUGUAAACGUAAAAAUGCUGCCUUUCAAAUAACGUCCAUUUCCUCUUUUAUUUCCUUUUUCCUUAUCUUUCGUUUCUUCUGCUGUGAUUAAUUGACUAUGAUACGAUCUUCCAGUAAUAUCAACCUCAAGACCUAGAAUUGAACCCUGUUAGCCAAAUCAUGCUUUUCUUGAGAACUUCAAAGAAGUUGCUUCAAACAAUAUUAGCAAAAGCAAGUAAAUUGCAUUUGUGCAAUAAUAAUAUAAACGGAAAGACAUGCAAAAUUCCAGCCCUGCAAAUGCAAUUUCUGUGGUAGUAGAAGCAAAAUUAGAGGAAGAAACAAAAUUGUGACUACCUGGUCUCCCAUAGGAAUGGCGAUGCGGCAAUCACACUUGCUACUCGCCUUAAUGCAAUGCACGCGCCAGUUCCCGCUAAAACUAACGUUUGCAUGAUCCAAACAACUUUCAACUUCCAUAGCUACUCCGUACAUAUGCAAUGGUAUCAACGCCGGCGGUUCGCACCGCCCGUGCACGUAAGGCUGGUAACUUGGCACGUCAGGAUUGUCUACUACCUCUGGCUCUGGAAUCACCGCAUAAACCAUGAGCGCCGUCGGUAAGAAACUCUCCGAUGACUUCGACAUUCCAAGUACCGGCGCCGGAGGCAAUCCCUUCCCAUAGUAAAUUCUCUUAGAAAGCUUCAAACCGAAGUCCACACUGGUCUCGAACUCGUCAGCCAUGUCGACGGCUACGUUCCAGAGAAAUUUUCCCGGCGACAAUUAUGACGAUAAAAAUCCAGACAACACAACUCUGCGACAAGACAGAUGGGAAUAGAAAAAUAAUUUUGGAGUUUAUGACAGCGCAGUAGUUAUGAAAUGCAUGUUGAUGUGGCUUUAGAAUUUUCAAGUGGCUAGUCGUGAGGACGGAAGGCGAAGGUUGGUUCUUUCUUUUGGAAAUUAAUCUAGUAGGAGUAUUUUAAUAGUGAUACAACCAGUUAUGAAAUGACACGUGUAAAAUACUUCCCCCCAAUCUUCGUAUGCUUUUGUUGAUAUGAACGGAUCAUUCAGUCAAUGUACUUUUCUGGUUUUUUUCUCCUUCAAGAAAUUUGUUUAUGAUAAGAUUAAUUACAGCAAAUAUAUUUAAUCUAAGAUCUGAGAAAAAAAGGUACAUAUACUUAUUUUUUUUGUAUGAAUAUUAUUUUUAAAAAUUAUAAAUGUAGAUUAGAUUUAGAUUAAACAUGCCAUGUUAGUGUGAUAUGCGUGACAAUAAAAUGAAAACGUGAACUUAUAAUUAUUUCUCGAUAAAUAAAUAAAAUAGUUGCCACUUACAAUAUUUUAAUUAGUAUAAAGAGCAAUGAUAACAAAGUUAAAGCUAUGGAUUAAAGUAAAUGAAGCGCCAGACAUAAUUAGUACACUACAUGAUACCAAAUGUCACUGUCCUAAACCACGCACCAAGAUCGGACGGUGCGGCGCUUAUUUAGUACACCCUCAAAUAAGUCAGUUAAAGGGAUUAAUUAGUUAUUUAUAAGUCAAUAAUGGUCGUUAGAACAAUAUAAUUCCAAUAUAUAAUUAUAUGGGUUCGGAUAUAAAAGCAAUUUAAGCAUAGGAACACACAGCACAACAUCACAUAUAGGGGCAAAAUAAUAAUUCUCAUUUAUAUAUCAAAUAGUACAUCGAGACACAAUAAUUACAAUGAGGCAACCAAUGUCACCUUCCAUAUUCAUAAGGGCACUUAUAAAGGGCGGACUCUCACGUCCAAGUGACUAUAAGCAGAGUCACUCCCCAAUGAUUUAAUUGGAUGUCUGCCACUCGACCCACUUCACUAACUAGCGUCCAAUCUAUGAAUGGAUGGUCCAGUCCAGUGUCUAUCUACCAAUUUAAGGCCUUAUACUUGUUAUGAUCUCCACCGUUGGAUGAUGGUCCCAAAAGAUUUGCAGGCUCUGUAUGAAGUUACGACGGAAGUGACUCAACGGCAAACGCAUACCAAACUAUUAUUCGGUCGUACUAGACUUGUUUACAUCCUGUUCAUGAAUCCACUCAAAUCAGCCCAAUAAAAAAAAAAUUAUAAUACAUAGAUUUGACUAUGCAUCUUUAAUGAUUAUACUGAAACUCCUCAAACUUCACCUUAAUUUUACACUUUCACAUUUCAAUUUUCAUUUCUGCUAGAAACAUAAAAGUAUAAAACAAUGCUUGAAUCCAAAAAAAAAAAAAAAAAAAAAAAAAUCAAAGCCACAAGAAAAAUUGAUUAAAAUUUAAAAUUAAAUUUAUAUAUUAGGUCAAAAAGAUAUUUUCAAAAAAAUUAAAAUCAUUUUAUCCUUUUAUUUUUUAAAAUGAACAGUUUAAAAUAUAUUUAUAUUAAUAAAAUUUGUUCUAAUUGAUUUGAUUAAAUUCAUAAAUCAAAUCUAAUCAAAUCGAUCUUUGAAAUAUGGUAGCACAAUUAUAUAGAUAUGUGACUUGGACAGAGACAGACAAGACAGACUUUGAUUUGCUGUCAUCUUUUUGUUUUUUUCUUACCUUACAAAAAAAAAAAGGCAAGUGCAGUGGAUUGCAUUGGUACCAAAUUUUGACUAUUGUUUUCUUUUUCUUUUUUUUUUUUUUUUCCCCCCUUAACAAAUGUGCAAAAUGUGACCAUUUUUUUAAAUUGGGUUUGGGUCCACAAGUGAUUGAUCAAGUAUUUAAUUGAGCAUUGACAAUAUUAGCAUCUACAUUGACCCUAAUGUGGUCUAAGCAUAUUAUUAACCUACUUCAAAACCAAAGUUUUCUUGAUGCCAUAAGGACUUUGUCUUUGUUAAACCCAUAAUUAGGAAAAGAGUAAUUCAAUCCCUUGCUUUGAUUCUUAUGAAAGCAUGAAAUAAAUAAAUAUAUAUUUAGCUAUGAAAUGAAUUGAAAUAUUAUCAUGGCUACGUAAAUAAAUUUUAUAGUUGAAUUUCAAUUUGAAACUUUUUUAUGCUCCACGUUGUUAUAAGAAUGAAAAAAUAAAUUAAAUUAUAUAUAAAAUUUGAAAUCUCCAUCUAUUAAAAAAAGAAACUAUAAAUUUAUAAGAGGGAAAACUAUAUAGACGAUCAAACUAUCUAAAAGAUGCAUUCAUAAAAACAAAUGAAAAAUACGGGAAAGAAAAAAUGAGAAUAUAAAAAGUCAGUUUCUGAGUUUCAUAAUUAACUUUUUUUUUAAAAAUAAAUAAAUAAAUAAACAGGUAAAAAAUAAAAAUAAAAAAACAAUCCAAGAGAUGUGCUUAAAAUUUUUCCACUAACAUCACAUGAAGCUUAAUUAUUAAAGUAACGAAAAAAGCUAUCGAAUUUGAUUUUCACUAAAUAUAUACAUAGAGAGAAGCAGUAAUUAAAUUUCAAAUCCAUUUUAAUUGAUUCGUAACAAUAAAGUCUGACACUAUAAUUUAAAAAAAAAAAAAACAAAAGUAAUCUUAAUAGCAUUUUGUAGUGAUUGCUGUUAAGUAGGUGAGCCCCACAUUUAGCAUCAAUCGUGAUAAAACGUUAUGUCAUCAACCGAAUGAUAGAUCUAGAAAUCUACUUUUAUAUUAAUUUUUGAAGAAAAUGAUGAUAUUGAUAGUAUAUAUUAUCUAAGUCAUCAAUCAUAGAAAAUUAAAGCAUGCUUUUGUUGAUGAUACUCUCUGUUGGACAGAAAAUUUUGUUUAGGUAAAUUGAGGCUAUAGUAGUAAGUAUAGACUUGACUUUAGUGCUGGCCACUCAUAUGCCACGAAAGUGACACUUAUUAAGUUACAAUAAUUGUACUAUCUAUUAUACAAAUAAAAGAUAAUUCUUUUCUAUAUAAUCAUGAUAAUAAAACAUUAUCAUCGCAACUAAUUAAUUUGUUCAUACAACUUCAUGGACCUCAGAAAAAUAAAUUGGGCUUUUUAGAAUAAAUUUUCACUAUCAGCCCGCAAAGGAAAGUUACAAGAGAAAAACCCAAUUAUCCUCCUCUUGCUUUGGAUUACUGAAUUUGUCCUCAUGAGUGAUGAGUGCUUUACUAAUUGUUGGUUGGAAACUUCAAAUCAAAGGUUUGUGAAUGGGGUCAAAGCUCAAAAGACUUUUUUUUUUUUUUUGGGUAACCCAUGUGGUAUUCGAGUGGGCAUGAACCACUGCACUGGUCCGCGCUGGUCCGGUUGUAUGAUUCUGCCCAAAAAACUGAAAACAGAUUGUAUUUUAACAUAUAAAGCGUAAGUUUUACUAGUCUUUCUGAAUGCUAUAGUUUAUGAUUCAGAAUUACCAAAAACUGAGGACCCUUCUUCGUGGGAUUGGAAUUUGAAGAACACUUCUACCAUUGAUGAAGGAAAUAAUGAAAAAUCCCUUUGAUUUUGCCUAUAAUUGACAAUUGCAACCAAAACUGAUUUCACUAGUUCCAUUAAUAGAAAUGUCAAUAUCAGCUGCUUCAAUCCCUCCCAUGAGAUUUCAUAAAGGUACAAUUUUUGCUCUAUAAUUAAUGUGUAAUCCCAUUGAUCAUGGAGUUGGAGAACAAACAUUAAGGGAAAUGAUUAAGGGAACUAGUGAUGAAUUUCCAUAAUGUAAGUGGCUGCCAUUCUUGGUUCUUGAUCAAAUUCCUAUAAAUUGUGGCUUUCAAUGGUUAACUUCAAUCACAGAAGUAUAUUACUUUUCAGUGAGUGAAAGAACUAAUAGAAAAACAAAGAGAGAGAGAGAGAGAGAGAGAGAGAGAGAGUGAGUGAGAUGGAGAGGAAGGUUUUAGCAGUAGCUGUGCUAGUUAUGCUUGCGUUAGGCACAGUUGAAGCCCAAGAACAAGAACGUCCUUCCCUUCUUAAAUGUGCAGCAAAAUGUGGAGGAAUUUGCUAUAAAGCAAGAUUUCCACCUUUGAUGGUGCUGUGCUUUAGCCUGUGCAUGCUCCAAUGCAGGCAUUCUCCGUCUGAUAUUGUCUACAAUUGUACUCACUCUUGCGCUAGAAGCAUGGUCACUAACUCAUUGACCAUUGAUUCUAAUCUUGGUACGCCAAUAAUUAAAAUUUUCAUAUAUAUCUUAAUGUUUCAUUAUGUUCUUUUAUGAAAUAGUAUACUGAUUGUUCUUUUCUUUUUUAAUACAUCAGGUGAUGACAAAGUAGAAGGUUAUGUGGAUUCUUGCUAUCAAAUGUGCAACAAGGAUAGCAACAAUAUCUAGUAUCUAAGAAAAGUAUCUUUGUUAUAUUUAAAUAAGAUGGUAUAGAUGUAAUCUUUCUACAUAUUAUUACUAAUAAAGAUGGAUGCUUUAAUCAUGUAUUCCAUUUUAUCAGUCAAUGUUCUCCUUUUACACAGUAACUGAAACAAAACCUAAUUUAUCUAUAAUUUUUCUAAGAGUAACUAAGGCUCCGUUGUUUCCGUAAAAUCACUAAGGCUGGUGGUGGUGGUCGGUGUUGGUAGCCGAUGGUAGUGGUCGGUGGUAAAUGGUGACUGGUGACUGGUGACUGGUGGCAGUGACUAUGAUGAUUAAUAAAUUAAAAAAUAUGAAUUUAUAAGGUUUACUAAUGUUCGGAAAAUGUUUUACUCUCAAAAAUGAAAAGUUGUUUUCUUUAAAAAAAUGAUUUAAUUUUCCUUUAAUUAGGAAAAUAUUUUCCAUUGAUUUAUUUUACUGAAUGACUCUAAACAACGGAAAAUUGUGAAAAUUAUUUUUUCGUAAAUUAUUUACAGAACUGGCGGAAAAGUUUUCGCUGUUGGACGGAAAACUUUACCUCUAAGGGAAGAGUAUCCAUUUGAGGCAGAAAAUUUUUGUUUUGUUUGAGACACACUCGUUCUUCUGGCCAAAAGAAAACGUAUGAAAUUAACCAACAUACCACGAUAUCGUUUUUCCAGUUCCAUAGAAGAAUGCUUCGUGGCCAGCUUUUUCCAUAGCCAACGAGGUCGUUUUGAUACACACCAGAGACUUUGGCCUUCCAUCACGGUUUGGUUUGAUAUGGUUUGGAAAAGCUUCAAAACCAAAUUAGAAAUUAUGAUUUGAAAAUUUUUUCAUAUAAAAUUAAACCAAUGAAUUGCAAAUCAAAGUGAUUUAGUAGGGCUUGAUUUAUGAUUUAGUGCAUUAAAAAAAUAAUUAUGCAUCGAUUAAUAAAUUUAUAAUUACAAAUUGUGAUGAAUUAGGAGAAAAUGUCUCAUUUUAUUAAACAUGGUUUAGUCUGAUUUUAAACAAUUUGAUUGAAUAUAAACUGAACUAAACUAUUUUGAAAAUAAAGGGCAUACAAGGGAUGAUUUGAUACAGUUUGAUUUGGUUAGUAGUUAAAAUAGUAACAAGUUUAACAGGCGGUAAUGAUCAUCUCUAAUGUGUUUUAGUGUUCUUGCUGAAACUUGUUCUACUGCUCGAGUUCAAUUUAAAUGUUUAAUCCCUUUGAUCAGGGAGUUAUAUAUCAAUUAGUUAUGCUGCCAUAAUCAAGUCCUAAUCGGAGGAUCAAUACACAAAAUUUCCAAUAAUGGAAUUAGCACAUCUCUUUUGAACCCAAAUGAGUGGAAAUGAUCAAGGGAACAAGUAAGAUUAAUUUCCAUAAUACAAGUGGCUUCCAUUCUUGAUUCUUGAUCAAAUGCCUAUAAAUUUGUGGCUUCCAAUGGUUAAGUUCAUCGCACAAACACAGUACUUUCGAGUGAGCGAAGGAACUAAAAAAUAAGCAAAAGAGAGAGAUGGAGAGGAAGGAGUUAGCAGUAGCAAUGCUACUUAUGCUUGUGUCAGGCGCAGUUCAGGCCCAAGAACAAGAACGUCUUUCCCUUCUUAAAUGCGCAGCGAAAUGUGGAUCAAAGUGCUUGUUAUCUGCAAUGAUUCCACCAUUGGCGGUGCUUUGCUUUAGCCUAUGCAUGGUCCAGUGCAGGCGUUCUCCUUCUGAUAUUGUCUACAAUUGUACUCAUUCUUGUUCUACAAGCAUGGUCACUAAUUCACUGGCCAUUGAUUCUAAUCUUGGUACAACAAUUAUUAAAUUUCUUACAUACAUACACUAAUUUAUGUUCUUUUGUUAAAAAAUAGUCUACUGAUUGUUCUUUUUUCUUUUUUAUUGCAACAGAUGAUGACAAAGUAGAAGUUUAUGUGGAUUCUUGCUAUCAAACUUGCAACAAGAACAACAAAAAUAACUAGAUGGUGUCUCUUGCCAACGAACACACACACACACACACAUAUAUAUAUAUGCUUCUUCCGUCUGAGCAAAGUAUUGUUUGUUAUAUGUAAAUAAAAUGGUACUGAACUACUGAUGUAAUCCUUAUGUUAUCAUCAGUAAAGAUGGAUGCUUUAAAAUAUCCCUUCAUCAAUACAGAUAAGUGAUAGUCAAUUUUAAUCCCUUUUUUUUUUUUUUUUUUAAUAUUACCCCUUCAUUGAUACUAAUUUCACAUGCCACUGUUAAUAAAAUAUUGUUGGGAUAAAGUUAAUAGAGAAUUAAUAAUUAAAUUUGAAAAAAGAAUUGUUUAUAACAGACGAAAAAGGAAAUAGUAGCUUUUUUUUUUUUUUUAUCAUUGGUAUCGGGAGCCACUACUAGUAAAUAGAAGUAUUUUGAUAAUGGUGAGUAACACGAAUGUUUUUUCUUUUUCUUUUCAAAACUAAUUAAUUUACAUUAACUAAGGGAGAUUUUUUUUUUUUUUAGAGAGCUUUGAAAAGUAUUUUCAUCUAAAAAACGACUUAAUAAUAAUACUCUGCUGGUCAUCACUUUCUCCUUUUGCUUUGUCGAAAAUUUAGUAUUUUUUUUUAAUAUAUCCUUAUUUAAUAUACAAAAUAGAUAUAAGACGGAUCGAGUAAUAAAAAGGCCUCCCGGAGUUAACUAGACAGGCAAAUACAGGAAUAAAACGUCAUUUCAAUGUGCCCAAACGACGCAUGUUAGUUCGUAAAUAACGGUGAAAACAUUCGGAAAAAUCAAGUAAAAUAGCUGCUUGAAGCGACCGUCCCUAUCCGAAACGAUAAAAACGAUUGAUUAAAGCAUUGCCUAUUCUCAUCUUUCUGUUUGUCGUUUGAAUAAAUUCAAUGCACUCUCGCUUAAAACGAUCCACCCUUCAUACCAAUGAUGAAGAAAAACGACAGAGCGAAGUUUCGCGCGUGGCAUCAGCUGAGGUUUGUCUCAACCAAAGGUUUUGUCAAAUUUCGCCUCAACGCGGUCAAAUCUCCAUUAGCCAUAUCCCAAUACAACAGAAAAAUGUGUAAGACGAGAGAUACUUCCAGUUAGGUUCAUCUGACCUGGAAAAAAAAAUUAAAAAAAAAAAAAAGAAAGAAGAAGAAGAAAGAGAGAUCGUUUGGACUGACGGAUUCUAUGGUAUAUUAUUCUUUGAUUCCUUAGAAACGAAGGUAUAAUCAAAACCAGCUAAAUCGAGCUUUUCAGGUUUGUGCAUUGGUUUUCUUGUUUCGGUUUCCAGUUUUUGAGUGAUGUUAAGGUUUGUUUUGCCCUUUUUGGUCUCAAUUUCUCUUUUUACAAUCCUGCGUCUAAAAAUCAGUAAUUUUCUGGUUCAUUAAUAACUGGAUCAUUGCUUGGUUGCUGGGAAACAAGGAAUAAUGGAGAGAGAGAAUUAUAGGCUCUUUUAUGUGAAGGGGAAAAGUUGGUUGGUUUGAUUUGGAUUCAAAAGUUUGCUGCUUUUUCUUGUAUUCUUACAGUGAUUUAGUUGUAAAUUAAUAGAGAUCAAAAUUUUGAAUUUGUUCCUGAAUUAACGUAAUCAAUUUGUCUAUACAUUACUGUGUAGAUUUGAGCUAGGAAUUGUUGAGCAGUGUUUUAUUUGAGAGAAAAAGUUAUAAUCUUUUGCUGCUAUGCUUUAAAGAUUUUUGAUGUGAUGGUGAAACAUUAAAAAAACUUUAUAUAGCGAACUUGAUUUUCUUUUUCUUUCUAUUGUUUGCUUUUAAAAUCAGGUAUAAACUCAUGGCCCCUGCAACUAUGGCUAAUGCAGGCCCUGCUCUUUUGUAUUAUACAUUGAACCGGAAGCUACAUAUGUUUACCUGACAGGGAAAGGCAUGGAGACCAGAAGGAAGAAGAAGAAGAAGAUAGUGCGAAUAACCAUUUGAGGCUGGACACCGAAAAAAUCAGCGAGCAGAAACACAGAAUCAGAAUCAGUAUAUGAUAUUUAUAUUUCUAUCAUCAAAGGCAGAAAAUUAAAUACUAUAACAGAUGAAGGCCUUCAGGAAUCGAAUGUUUUGGAUAAUUGGCAUUGUUAGUGGUAAAUUGUAGAUAGAGUGUGGUUCUUCUUUUAUAAUUGGUUGGGUUAUUUUGAUGAUUUUGUUGCGAAACAAAAAUAAAAUUUUACCUCGAACAGAGAGGAGAAAGGCGGGAAAAGGGAGAGAAGGGCAAACUAGGCGCAGAAAAAGAUUUUGACGAGGAAAAUUGGGCAAGGGGAUUACAUGUCCAGACCCAAUUAGGCCCAUUUAUAGAUAAAUUUGAUGGAAAAUAUUUUUUUUAUUAAAACGAAAGUAUCUUUUUGGACAAAUGUGUUUCUUUUUAUGUAUUAGAGCCGGUUUAAAUAUUUAUUUAUUUUCGUGUAUGCGCAUUGUAUAUUUCCUAUUUGAUCAAUAAAAAAAAAAAAAAAAAAAAAAAAAGGAGUCUUUAUAAUUCUUCACAUGCUCAACAUCAUCAGAUUUUCUAACUUCCAUUACAACAGAACAGUAGUUCACAUUACAGUUUCUGCACAUUAAUUUACAUGUUCAACAACCAUUUUUACAUCAUAAUUUAUCCACAUUCGCAAAACUCAUAACAACAGGCAUCCGAAGCAGACUAGGGCUACACAAAGUUGUGAGAGAGCUAUAGCACAUUCGUUGUUCAUACAUGAGCAAGUCUGAAUUAAGCACAUGCAACAGCAUGGAUCGAGCAGCUUGCUGCAGCAAUUGGAGGCAGCAUUAACUAGCACUUCUGUAGCUUCAGGUGACUUUAUUUCAUCUGUUCCUGGGGGAAUGUUUGAUGCUGUCGCAGCCAAGUCUCCAAAGCCAACACCUAGGUUCCCCAAGAAAAUGACCUUCUGGAUUUCCGAGUUCACUUGUCUAAGUGAAUUAAUUUUGUUG